CAGAGAUGUCCGGCGGGAGACGAUCACGGUAAUGAUCCGUGUUUAUGUCGCGCGCGAUCGUAAAAACUGGCUUCUGAGUUUACGCCGUUGUUCGCCGCGCGUGUCCAUGAAUAUUUAUCCGAUAUUUUCUGCAAGCGGUCGAGGAGUCGGAGGACGAAGAAAAAAAACACGCACGAAGUACGUACAAUCGAGAAAGUAAUUGCAGCGAAAGGAGAGCGCUGCAACAUUUCGCGCGGUGUUGACGGACUCCGUUCGGUUUUCGAGGUUAUCCGAUCUUGAAGUGCUUCGUCCGUUGAUGCUCGAGGAACGUCAAAACAGAUCGGAAGCACAAAAAAGUGAUCGACGAUUCGCGCCGAAGAGUGGAUUCACCACCGGAUGUAUUACGAUCGUGCCCGACCAUCUUCUUCUGUCAUCGAGAGGUUAUGUCACCGGAUUCUUAUGCAUUUGUUGCGUACAAAAGGUUUCGAUGAUCUAUUAAAAUGCGAAGUUUCGGACUAUACAGGGUGAUUCACUCGAAUCGAACGUUCAAGUUGUUCCCGUUACAACGAAAGCGCAAUGACGUCGCCUGCAUCGAGAUGAGUUCGGCAACCUUCAAUAUCACGACGUUAAGAUUAUAUAAUUAUAUAUAAUUAUAUAAU